rnacentral:lncRNA from 1 species
UCUGCAGCAAUCAAUAUAACAGGCCCCGCUUUCACUAACGUUCUCAAAGUGAGAAAAUUCUCAGCUCAAGAUUGUCUCAGAACUGUCUGAGAAUUGUCUCAGCUGAGAAAUUUCUCAAGUUGGCUUUCUCUAAACUUUUUCUCAAGUCUUGAGAUUUUUCUCAGCUGAGCCGUAAUUUUUUAAGACAUAAACGGCCAAACAUCCAAGGAGCCGCGUGAACUUUCCCACGAACACGAGUGCAUAGUUGGGGGCAGUGGAUUUAUUCAUUUAUUGAGACGAAAUGAAGCGUUGAGAAAUGUUCAUAAACAACAUGUACAGUUUCGGGAUAUAUCCAGAUUGUAUGUUUGUACACUGUUGUACAAAGGUAUGGCAGUGUAUUUUCAAUAUUAUAAUUAAUCAGCUUCAAACCUGUCACUUUUGAACCAAUCAAACACACAGUCGAGGGUACUACGUCAUAUUGCAUGUGUUUUCUUUACCAAAUAUGGGAUUACGUAAACACAACCAUAUGUUGUUACACUACUUGUGACAAUUUUAUGUUAUCGGUCAUAUAUUUAUUGGAAUCAGAUAUGCAGCCGUCACAGCCAGCUGAUGAAGAUCCUCAGCUUAUACAGAGGUCAGGCUUGAGCUAUGUGCUGAUUCAAAAGAUGCUAAUGACAGUGGAUAGUCCAUUCUGAGCUGUUCUAGGACCAUUCACCAAGGUUCCAAAACACUGAUGGAUCUGAAGGCAGUACCUGUAUUGGUGUCUGGUCUGUGAUUUCAAGUAUAAUUGAUGUACCUCCUCCUGAUAUAUCUGCCAUGUGAAAGGAACAAGCUGCAAGAUAUACUGUGGAAGUGGGGGCCUAUGUAAAAAACAUUUUAUUUAAAGAAUAUAAAAAAUCUGACACUAAACUACUGAAAAGGUGCACAGGGGACAUUUUUGUGUGUAUAGACUUUCAUCAAGAUUCUGAGAAAGUUGAUUUAUCAAACAAAAAUAGUCAGAUUGUGUCUUCAAAGCUGAAAAGAUUAAGAUCUUAGGAAAACAUUAGGACUCAAGAAAAGUAAUGGGGUUAUGAAACUGUAGUGUUCAACAUUUAAAUUGUUUUUUGUUUUUUUUUUUCACUACAUUUUGUGAAGAGGGUUCCAUCACAAGAUGCGACAUAUUGCCUGAUAUUGGUAAGAAUGAGAUGUAGUUUAUGAAAAAAAAGUAUUUUGCUUUAAAUGUGCAGACUUUAAGUUACAUAAAAAAUCAAAGCUCUAACAAUAAAGCUUGAUUAAAAAGACACUCUGUUGAAAACUAGCCUUCAUGUAAAUGUCACACUUUUUUGGGUGCACAGGGGACACAAUUAGCUAUAUAAUUUAAUAUAACUUUAACCCUUAAGCCCUUGCUAAAUUUCUAUAAUGAACUUGUACGUUUUACAAUUUGGACAGUAUUAUUAAGUGUUAAAAGGGGUGCUAACCAAAAGAUACUGACUGAAUGGCGAACAGUGCAGAUAAAGAUCAGACUGCACAGAUGUGCAGGCUUAUCAUGAUCUACACUUGUUGCAAAGGUAGGACCAACCAUGUACAGCAUGAUAAGGGUUAAAACUGCUUGAGCCAUUCAGGUGAAAUUGCAAACAUUUGUUGACUACAUUGAUUGGAUAUAUGUAAUUUGCCCCAAAACACUUUAUAAAACUGAACUGAAUUAAAAUAAGGUGAGAGAGAAGAAAAAGCUUAAUUAUUUAAAAAAAAAACUAUA